rnacentral:lncRNA from 1 species
AUUCAUAAUAAAUUGUUAUAAGAUAGUAUACAUGUAUAUAUGUCUGUAUGUAUGUAUGUAUGUAUGCACGUACAUGCAUUCAUGUGUAUGUUUAUAUAACUAUUUGUUAUUCUUAUUAGACAAGGAGAUGCAAGAGUAUGUUUAAUCGGAUUUCCAUCUGUCGGAAAAUCGACACUGUUAUCAAAAAUAACAAAUACAACAUCAGAAGUAGCUGACUAUGAAUUUACUACUUUAACAUGUAAACCAGGUAUAAUUUCAUUUUACAUUAUUCAUCUUCUAUAUUAUUUACUCUAUUUUAUGUAUAGUAUUAGUUUCAUGUAUUAUAUUUUGUUAAAUGUUGUUUAUUUAUUUUGUGUUUCGACCCUAUUGAUUUGCAACCAAUAUAUAAACUCUUUUUUUUUUUUUUUUUUCUCCUUUUUUUUUUCUUUUUACUUUUGCUGCUCCUUGAAUAAUUCCGGGUAAAUCAAGCAAUUGAAUUUUUGCAUCUUUGUAAUUUAUUAUUCCUAUAUUGAAGGGAAAAGAACCAGUAAAAAAAAAGGAAAAAAAAAAAAAAAAAAAAAAGAAAUCAUGUAAUAUAUUUUUGUAACUUUACUUUAUUCGAUGUUUCCACAUAUAUAUGUAUAUAUUAACCUAUACAUAUUUUAUAGGUUAUUGCUGUUGCAAAAUCGUGUGAUAUGAUCAUGAUGAUAUUGGACGCUACUAGAGACGAUAGCCAAAAAAUAAAACUAGAAAAGUAUAUUUUACCAUUUUUUUUAAUAUUACUAAUGAUAUAUAUACAUAUAUAUCAGUAUAUAUGUACACAUGUGAGCAUGUAAUAUUAUGAAUCAAAACUAAUCCUUUUUCUUUUUUUCUUUUUUUUAGUGAAUUGAAAACAGUGGGAAUAAGAAUAAAUCAAGAACCCCAAAGGAUUACAUUAACAAGAAAAAAAGUAGGUGGUGUUGUUAUAAAUAGUACUGUCCCGCUUACAAAAAUGGAUAACAAGCUUAUAUUGAGCAUACUUCAUCAGUAUAAAAUACAUAACUGUAAUUUGUUAUUUAAUGAAGACGCUAGUGUAGAUGAUCUUAUUGAUGUUAUAGAAGGGAAUAGAAAAUAUAUCAAGUGCAUUUACAUAUAUAACAAAAUAGAUAUGUUAUCUUUGGAUGAAAUUAAUACUAUUGCAUCAGGGUAAGCGAAAAAAAAAAAAAAAAAAAAAAGAGAUCAAGAAUGUUAUUACUGAUAUUAUUAUAUUUGUUACAAAAUUAAUAUGAUGUAUAUAUACAUAUCAUCAAUAUGCUAACAUUUGGAUACAUAACUGUACAUAUUUUAUAUUAUAGAGAAAAUUCUAUUGUUAUAAGUAGUAGCAAAUCAUGGAACUUGGACGUACUGAAAGAAUAUAUAUUUCAAAAGUUAGAAAUUAUUAGGAUUUAUACCAAAGCUCGUAAAGAAAAGCCUG